AGUUGUCCUGAGGCUCUGACCGGAAAGCGGAAGCGGUGCGCAGCACGUGGGGGAGGUGCAGAUCUCUGGGCUCGGCGUCCCCUCGGUUUGUGCGAGGCCAGGCCGCCGGCGGCGACAACCCUAGACGAGGGGCGGAGAGGGAACUAGAGAGACGCCGCGGAGCUCAGAGAUCGGCUGAGCGUCAUGGAGGGCUCUGACGAGCAACCGGGCCCACAGCCACUGCAUCCCGGGGAUCACUGCAUCCGCGACGGCGACUUCGUGGUGCUGAAACGGGAAGAUGUGUUUAAAGCAGUGCAAGUCCAGCGGAGAAAAAAAGUAACUUUUGAAAAACAGUGGUUCUAUCUGGAUAACGUUAUAGGCCAUAAUUAUGGAACCACAUUUGAAGUGACCAACGGAGGAAUUCUUCAGCCGAAGAAGAAGAAGGAAGAGCCUACUUCAGAGACCAAAGAAGCAGGCACUGAUAAUCGAAAUAUAAUCGAUGACGGGAAAUCUCAGAAACUUACUCAAGAUGACAUAAAAGCUUUAAAGGACAAAGGCAUUAAAGGAGAGGAAAUAGUUCAACAAUUAAUUGAAAAUAGUACAACAUUCCGAGACAAGACAGAGUUUGCUCAAGAUAAAUAUAUAAAAAAGAAGAAAAAGAAAUAUGAAGCCAUGAUUACUAUUGUGAAGCCAUCCACCCGCAUUCUUUCAGUUAUGUAUUAUGCAAGAGAACCUGGAAAAAUUAAGUACGCUUUGUUUCCUUUCAAAACUAUAGUUGGGGGAAAAUAUGUCUUUAAGAAAGUCAUGAUUUUAAGUAAAAUGAAAAUCUUGCUCAUCUGCAUAAAGUGUCCUCCUACUUCAUAAAUUCCACAUGAGAUACGAUACACUAGCCCAGAUGUUGACAUUGGGAAAUAUCCGUGCUGGCAAUAAAAUGAUUGUGAUGGAAACAUGCGCAGGCUUGGUGCUGGGUGCGAUGAUGGAACGCAUGGGAGGUUUUGGCUCCAUUAUUCAGCUGUAUCCUGGAGGCGGACCUGUUCGGGCAGCAACAGCAUGUUUUGGAUUUCCAAAAUCUUUUCUCAGUGGUCUUUAUGAAUUCCCCCUCAACAAAGUGGACAGUCUCUUAAAUGGAACGUUUUCUGCUGAGAUGUUAUCUUCAGAGCCAAAAGACAGCACCUCAGCUGAAGAAAGCAAUGGCACGCUGGAGGAAAAACAGCCUUCAGAACAAGAGAAUGAGGACAGCGUGGCGGAGACCCAAGAGAGCAGUCACCCAGAAGAACAAGAGACGAUGGAAAUGAUCUCUCAAGACCCAGAAUAUAAGGAGCCUAAAGAGAGAGGAAGCAAAAAGGAUUAUGUAAGAAUGUUAAGAGUUCCCACUAUCCUCAUUAUCCUUCCUCAGGGCUUCCAUUAACUUCAUGUAAGCACUGAGAUUUGGUUUGGCUUUGGAGCAUUAGCUCCCAAGAUAGUAAAUAUCAAAACGGACAGAGUGUGUGUGAGUGUACACGCAUGUGUGACUUAGUCUUUGAGAUGGAGCUUUAAGAGACAGAUGUGCUGGAUAGUUAGCUUGAUGAUGGUUCUAUAACAUAAGGGCUCUUUUAUGUGUCUUCAGGUUCCUCAUAAAUGACCUCCUUCUGUUGCUUCAGUCCAAGUUGAUAAAUAUUGUUAAAAUGUUUUGACAGACCAGUGUUUCCAUAAACCCCUGACUGAAUGACCUCAGUAUGUUGGUUUCUUAUGUUUCCUCUUGAAGAUUCAGGAAAAGCAGAGGAGACAAGAAGAGCAGAAGAAAAGACAUUUAGAAGCUGCUGCGCUGCUGAGUGAAAAAAACGCGGAUGGGUGCGUUGAUGAAAGAACACAGGCAGUGUCUCAGUACUCGUGGGCUCUGCUUCAAGCAGAUGUGCAUUCUCUGGCUGCUUGUCUGCUUUGGUUGUAGUGGAAGCAGACAUGAUGAUUCUGUCCUGGGUUUUUAAAGAAAGGAGGCUGCAUCUGGCAGAAGUGGGAAAUUGAUUAUGCUGAUUUCAGAGUUUUAGAAGAAAAUGAAAUUUCUCAAGUAGUGGUGCAUCAGCUGGGGCUGUGUUGUCCUGCACUGCAGUUGAUGUGAUACUGGCUGAAGUUGAGGGCUAAGAAAAACCUGACAGGAGAGGUAGAUUCAGGUAUCUGCAAAGCCAGUAUUGCAAUGUUGGGUUUGUUUCCAGAUGAUUUUUUUAAUCAAGAAUGUCAUUAAGGAGUUCCCAUUGUGGCCCAGUGGGUUAAGAACCUAACUAGUUCAGGUUUCACGAGGAGGCAGGUUCAAUCUCUGGCCCUGGUUGGAGGGUUGGGGAUCCAGUGUUGCGAUGAAUUGUGGUGUAGGUCACAGACGCAGCUCAGAUCCCGAGUGGCUCUAGCUGCAGCGUAGGCCUAUAGCUACAGCUCUAAUUUGACCCCCAGCCUGGGAACCUCCAUAUGCUGCUGGUGCAGCCAUUAAAAAGCAAAAAAAAAAAAAAAAAAAGAAUGUUACUAAAUGCCACAUAAAGUUGGCAAGUAGGAGAGCUUGUAAUCCAGUUUGCCUUUCUUAGAAAGUAAGAGCUCAUGAUUUUACUCUUUGGAAUUUCUACAAUGUUGUAUUUCACGGUCUUCCUUGUGUGAGUCAUACAAAUAAAUAUUUGAACAUCUUAAAUGAAUUUUAAACCCAUACUCUACUUUGGGGUUAUAGAGAAAUAAUUUGUCUAACACUUUCCUUGUAGUUUAAUUGUAGCUAGUCGUUUCCAUCCUACUCCACUGCUGCUGUCUUUGCUGGACUUUGUGGCUCCUUCAAGGCCAUUCGUGGUCUACUGUCAGUAUAAAGAGCCUCUGUUGGAAUGCUACACAAAACUGCGGGAAAGAGGAGGGGUCAUCAACCUCAGGCUGUCUGAAACCUGGCUUAGAAAUUACCAGGUUUUGCCAGAUCGAAGUCAUCCCAAACUACUGAUGAGCGGAGGUGGGGGGUACCUUCUCUCAGGCUUCACCGUGGCCAUGGACAACCUUAAAGCAGACACUAGUCUCAAAUCCAGCACCAGCACUUUAGAAUCAUACAAGACUGAAGAGCCAGCAGCUAAAAAACGGAAAUGCCCGGAGUCUGACGCUUAACCUUUCAAAGAUUGCUUUGAUUUUUGUUCUUAGGCAUUUUAUAGUUAGGAUGUAAACUUUAAAUGCCAUUACUAAUUGUUUUUUCAUAGCCUAAGAAUAAGAACAUGUCUAUAUACCUGUUCCUAGGAAGGACAAGUAAGCCUUUUGUCCACCUCUGAUGCAGAUGGAUUUGGUCUGUCAAAACCUGGAGCCAAAUCCCCAAGCCUAGAAUAAGCAGUGGACUAGUAUAUGGCCAGUUCUGUUUAUUUCACAAAAAUUCUCUAAGUACUUUUAGUACUCUGUGCAAAUAUCUUGAGAAUUUAGGCAUCUGAAAAAUAUAUUUAUACAACAUGUUUGUUUUUAUGUUAAGCUAAGUGGAAUAACCUGCCAUCAGUGAAACUUGGGUACUAAAAGGAAGGAAUUUGUGGAAGAAUUUCCUCUGUUUGAUUACACUCUCUUCAACCUAAGCAAUAUGAAUGUGUGUGAGAUUUACAGUACCAAAAAUGUCCACCCUUUCUCCCCCAAUGGAAUAAACUUUUUAAAAAAUGUUAUAUUUUAUUAUUUUAUAGUUGACGACCUAGGAAAGCUCUGAAUAUUUAUUUUACUGUUGUUUUUGUCCAUAGAAAGGUGUAGUAGGGUAGUUUUUUGCAUUAAUAUUCCAAUUCCUCUCUUUGUUCCAAAUAAAAUUUUGUGUGCUAUUCAAUUAAAGGCAACAGAAAUUCUUUUCCCUCCCCAGAGACUUAGAGCAAUAGGUACUUGCAUAUGGAUGUUGGUAUAUGCAUAUACAUAUGCGUAUUUGUACACACACACACACACACACACACACACACACACACACACACACACAAUGCACUGUCUAUGUGAACAGUAGCAAAGUUUAGUGCUGGACUUAGACCAAUCCUAAUUGCAUUAGUGUCACUCUUUGUCAAAUAUAUUUUAAAGUGCCUUUUUUGAUGAUUAUUAAUGCUGGUUUGUUGAACUUUGGCAUGACUAGGUGGUUAUUAGCCUUUCUAAGCUCUGAAAAAAAUGUAAUCAAAUUAUUUGGUCAUCUGCUGCAGCCAAGAAAGUGUUUGGAGGAAGCCAAGGGUCCUGUCCAUUUGAGAGUCUGAGUCUUGGUCACUAAACAUACUCAUUGUGUAUUGUCCACAUCAUUAAAGAUGCAAAUCACCCAGCAAGGAGCAUCACUGGUUAAUGAACCCAACUGAGAUCCUUGAGGCUCAGUGGUUAAUGAACCCAACUGAGAUCCAUGAGGACCUGGGUUCCAUCCCUGACCUCACUCAGAGGGUUAAGGAUCUGGUGUUGCCAUGAGCUGUGGUAUAGGUCACAGAUGCGGCUCAGAUCUGGCAUUGCUGUGGCUGUGGCUGUGGUGUAGGCUGGCAGCUAUAGCUCUGAUUUGACCCCUAGCCUGGGAACCUCCAUAUGCUGAGAGUGCAGCUCUAAAAAGACGGGGGGAAAAAAAGUUGCUUCUUCCUAAUAGCAUGUACUAUUCUAAAAAUGGCCAGUGUGAUUAGCAAGUACAGUUCUGAUUCUUUUUUCUGAAACCAGUUGCUUUUAAAGAAUAAAAGCAUUUCCUACUGU